AACGAACGCUGGCGGCAGGCCUAACACAUGCAAGUCGAGCGAGGACUUCGGUCCUAGCGUCGGACGGGUGAGUAACGCGUGGGAACGUGCCCUUUGCUUCGGAAUAGCCCUGGGAAACUGGGAGUAAUACCGGAUGAGCCCUUUGGGGGAAAGAUUUAUCGGCGAAGGAUCGGCCCGCGUUGGAUUAGGUAGUUGGUGGGGUAAUGGCCUACCAAGCCGACGAUCCAUAGCUGGUUUGAGAGGAUGAUCAGCCACACUGGGACUGAGACACGGCCCAGACUCCUACGGGAGGCAGCAGUGGGGAAUCUUAGACAAUGGGGGAAACCCUGAUCUAGCCAUGCCGCGUGAGCGAUGAAGGCCUUAGGGUUGUAAAGCUCUUUCAGCUGGGAAGAUAAUGACGGUACCAGCAGAAGAAGCCCCGGCUAACUCCGUG
rnacentral:rRNA from 1 species